AUUGAACGCUGGCGGCAGGCCUAACACAUGCAAGUCGAGCGGAUGAAGUGAGCUUGCUCCUGGAUUCAGCGGCGGACGUGUGAGUAAUGCCUAGGAAUCUGCCUGGUAGUGGGGGAUAACGUCCGGAAACGGGCGCUAAUACCGCCUACGUCCUGAGGGAGAUAUUGGGUGAUUUUCGUACCUCACGCUAUCAGUUGUGCCUAUGUCGGAUUAGCUAGUUGUUGGGUUAAUGGCCUUCCACGGCGACGAUCCGUAACUGGUCUUAGAGGAUGAUUACUCGCAUUGGAACUGAGACAAGGUCCAGACUACUACGGGAGGCAGCAGUGGGGAAUAUUGGACAAUGGGCGAAAGUCUGAGCCAGUGAUGGCGCGAGUGUGAAGAAGGUCGUCGGAGUGGAAAGCACUAUAAGGUGGGGGGAAGGGCAGUAAGUUGAUACCGGGCUGAUUUGACGUGACGAGCAGAAUAAGCACAGGAUAACUUCGUG
rnacentral:rRNA from 1 species